AGCAGAAUAAACAAAAGUUGCAUUGCUACUAUCAUUCCAGAGGUAUGUGAUGCUAUAUGGAAAACUUUAAAAGAUAUUCAUAUGCCAAUUCCAACUAAAGAACAUUGGGAGAAGAUUGCCCAAGAAUAUUUUGAAAAACAUGGAUUUCCAAACUGCCAUGGCUCAUUGGAUGAUAAGCACAUAAGAAUAAAAAGUCCUGCAAAAUCUGGAACCCUUUUUUAUAAUUAUAAAGCUUUCAAAUCUAUAGUGUUACUUGGUUUAGCAGAUAGUAAUUGCAAAUUUAUAUAUAUAGAUGUAGGAUCUUAUGGAAAACAAAGUGAUGGUGGCACUUUCAGAAAUAAAAGUCAAACACUUUAUAUUCCUCCUCCUAAACCUAUGCCAAAUUAUAUCAUUGUUCCACAUGUAAUUAUUGCUGAUCUAGCCUUCCCACUAAAAAAUUAUCUAAUGAAACCUUAUCCUACGAAGAAUACCAGCCCAG